UGUGUGUAUGUGUAUGUGUCUGUACAAGUAUGUACACUCAGAUGUACACACACACACACACACACACACAUACACA